GAAAAUGACAUAAUUGCAUUCGCCUUC
rnacentral:piRNA from 1 species